AUUGAACGCUGGCGGCAUGCUUUACACAUGCAAGUCGAACGGUAACAGGGAGCUUGCUCCGCUGACGAGUGGCGAACGGGUGAGUAACGCGUCGGAACGUGCCGAGUAGUGGGGGAUAACGCAUCGAAAGGUGUGCUAAUACCGCAUACGAACUGAGGUUGAAAGUGGGGGACCUUCGGGCCUCACGCUAUUCGAGCGGCCGACGUCUGAUUAGCUAGUUGGUGAGGUAAAGGCUCACCAAGGCGACGAUCAGUAGCGGGUCUGAGAGGAUGAUCCGCCACACUGGGACUGAGACACGGCCCAGACUCCUACGGGAGGCAGCAGUGGGGAAUUUUGGACAAUGGGCGCAAGCCUGAUCCAGCCAUGCCGCGUGUCUGAAGAAGGCCUUCGGGUUGUAAAGGACUUUUGUCCAGGAGCAAAUACCCAGUGCUAAUAACGCUGGGGGCUGAGAGUACCGGAAGAAUAAGCACCGGCUAACUACGUGCCAGCCGCCGCCGUAACAC
rnacentral:rRNA from 1 species